rnacentral:rRNA from 1 species
GGUUUAACUUACUGAACCUGAAAAGAAACUCUGAAUACUAGAAAACAAACAGACUUUAAGUAGAAGGUCUAAAAUCACGAGAAACUGUCAGAUAACUAAUCAAGUCUUAAAAUCACUGUUGAAGUGUAAAAAUAAAACUAGUAUUCCUUAGACAAUUUAAAGGUAGGCUCGGAAGCAAGACAUCCUGUUAAGAAAGCGUUACGGAUCAUAAGUCUCUACGUGAAGUGGAUUACCGUUGUCGAUAAUACUUUUGAGUCCUAAACAGUGUACCGAAAUUAUUAAUUAUUUAUGGUAGCAAAGUGUUUAAUUAAAUUGUAAUUUUUUUACGUUUAAAAAUGUAAAGAAAAUUUAUUCAAAAUAAAAAUGUUGAAAUAGGUAGCGUAAAACAACGUUUUAAUCAUUGUCACUGAAAAUCAAUGUUUGUCGAAGUAAUGUUGUAUAACACGAUUUAAUUCGGUCCCUAAGCUGCAGUUAAUACGAUAACAGCGAUGGGUUUUAAAACGUUCCUUUUAUUUUUCCUUUAGAUAAUAGUUAACAAAAUAGUGCCAAUUGUUUGGGGUUGGAGAUUACCUGGAAAAUCUCGUUUUUGCGAACCGUACUACAAACCACCUCAGGUAGAUUGGUAGCGUAUACUAAAUGGAACCGCUAUUAUAAUUAGCGGAGGAACAAAGCAAAUUAAACCCGUAACUUCGGAAGAAGAGGUUGCCUAAUUAAGUAUCAUAAAAUCCAGGAGGGCGACUGUUUAUUAAAACACAGGACUCUAUAGGUACAAAAUAGAAUGUGGGUCUGACUACCUGCGGUGUUGUGUAAUGAAAAGGGAUGUUGAUAGCAUUGGAUAUAAUUCACAAUAAGCAGGCUGUAACUCGACAGUCCUAAGGUAGCGAAAUUCCUUGUGGUAGUUCCAGCCUGCCAGAAUGAUGUAACGACUCCCUCCACUAUCUCCGCUAAUAAUUUGGCGGGAUUAGAUUUUGUGAAGAUGCAAAAACUGUAACAGCUGGACCCGGAAAGACCCUGCCUUUACUACCUUUACAUUGUAAUUAAAAAUCGACAGCGCAGCUGAGGUGGGAGAUUAUUUGGAGAAGUAGUUGAAGUACCACCCCUGUUGAUUUUCUUCACUAUAAAUUUUUAUAAAUUUGAAACGUGUAUGGUUGGUAGUUUCGGCUGGGGCGGUCACCUCCUAAAAAGUAACGGGGGGUGUGCAAAGGUAAGUUCAAAGCAGAAAAUAAUUGUUUGUUAAGCGCAAUAUAGUAAAAUUUGCCUAACUGGUAAGCAGACAUGCUAACAGAAACUGGACGUCAGCUAUAGUGACCCGGUGGUUUGUGUGGAAAAACCAUCGAUCAACGGAUAAAGGUACGCCGGGGAUAACAGGCUGAUAACCCUUUAGAGUCCUAUUGAUGGGGUUGUUUGGCACCUCGAUGUCAGCUUAUCGCUUCCUGUAGGGCAGAACAAAGUCCUAAGGAGUUCGGCUGUUCGCCGAUUAAAGCGGUACAUGAGCUGGGUUUAGAACGUUGUGAAACAGUUCGGAUCCUAUCUACUGUACAUUUUAGAUAAAAAUGUGUCUUAUAACGGCAUUGACAAAGCUAUUUCUAGUACGAGAGGACCGAAUAUGGUGGAUCACUGAUUAGCGAGUUGUUGGUUUUCACCGGCAGGCUCGAUCGUUAUAUCCGUUUACUGUUAAUUACUGAGAGCAUAUCAAGUAAGAAACAAAUUGUCUAGUUUAUCUCUAAAAAAGUUUUAGACUACAACUUAAACAGGCUAUAAGUAUUGAAGUGGAAGCUCUCGGGCUAAAUAGUGCUGAUUUUUUGUGUAAUAAAAUGUU